GGCCAAAUGGUCUAGAGGUAUGAUUCUUCCUUUGGGUGGAAGAGGCCCUGGGUUCGAUUCCCAGUUUGGCCC
rnacentral:tRNA from 1 species